rnacentral:misc_RNA from 1 species
UAUUAAUCAUGGCUCAAUAGUAUGUCGCACUCGCAUAUCAUUUCUUUGAUGCAAACACUUGAUACAGAUAAUUUAGUUAUUUUUACUGUCGAAAUCCACACAAACAAUAACUACAACUGAGAUCAUGAUCAGGAGCAAUUGUUUCCACAAUUUUUCCUACCAUUUCCCUAAUCUACUGCUUAACCACUAUCAUCUACUCAUCUUGCUACCAUUUUGAUAACAUCUUGCUACCAUUUUGAUAACUAGCUAGUAAUACUAGAAAUAAUAGCAAAUGCUACUGCAGGGCAUUAGACAAGUCACUGUCUCCUUCUUCUCGGGUCGAUUGGUUCUUUUGCUUUCGCAGAUAACAUUUUGUUUUCCCUUCUUCUUGCUUCUCAGUCAGCUCCAAUUUUGUACUCCGUUCUACGUUGUAUGAAGAAGACCUCUUUAGAGCUGGAAAUUUCUCCUUCUUCUUCAUCUCUAUUAAACUCCCACUGAAGUAUUCCUUAUCUUCCAGCUUAAUUCUCUCUUCACUUCCGUGAUAUUCCACAAUUGGACUCUCUACAUCCUUCACCGCUUGAUUGGUACACCUGCCAUGGGACAGACGGUUUUUAUACUGUGAAAUCAAGGAAAAUCCAUUUUCCUUCCCAUAACCGGGUCCGCAUUGCUUGAAGGACAUUGAACCGCAAUAGAGUAAUUGCAUCAAAACGGAAGCUGCUUUGCUCUUUCCGCUUGAAUGAGUAUUAGCCGUUGGAUCUUCGCUGAUUGUAUCUGGCCGUAGGAUUAAUUUUCCGUCCGCCUUCAUCAACGUUUCUAGCGUUUCAGAGCUUGAAUCGGAUAGUGGUGGUGAAAUUUCACCUCUGUUCAGCUCCGUUGACUGGUUCGGACUAUGUUCAACCUCGUCCGGUUCUUUACAGUCAGAUUCAAUAAUCCGGUUUUCACUCAACUCUUCUUCUUCUUCAACGAUUCGCAUUCCUCCUCGCCGGCGUCGUCUGUCCUCUGUUUGAGUUGAAGCGUCGGCUCCAAUUCUUCCGAGUAUUUCGCCGGGUGAUUCGGCCUUGUAAACUAGGUAUUCGUGGAAAUCGGAGGAACUCCAGGACUGAUUCCGGCGCCUUGCCACUGCAGGAAACUCGCGAUCUUCACUCAAUUUCUGUUUUUCCGGCACCGUAUUUCUAGAAUUAGAACAAGCGAUUUCAUCGGGUUGUGAAGGCAAUGCGCUAUCGAGAAGCUCUGAUCCUUUCAGAACAUACUCUUGACCAUGUGCUGGGUAUAUAAAAUCGUUCUCUGUCAAAUCGUGCCACACGAAUCCAUUCCUAUAGCUUCUUUUAGCAGACCAGGAGUACAUAGAGGCCAUCCCUUUUCCACGAAGACAAUUCAAGCGGUUGAUCACAUCUCUGAGAUACAGACCAUCACGGGAGGAAAGAGGCACUUCCAUGAAAUGAGGAUGCUCAAGUUGGCCAUUUCUGGAGAGAUAGUAAACAACGGGUACUUUGCUGAGCUUAUGGUUAGGAGGUUCAGUCCAAACUUUGGUCCGUUCAGGGCUUGUUUCUCUACCUUUCCAUUUCUUGUGCAUUUGGAGCUCCGUCGUCCUCGACAUUGUUCUUCCCAACCGCUUAAUUUGAGAAAGUUAGAAGAAAUGGAACCUCGAUAUUUGAAAUUUGAAAGCUUG